GAAACGCAGUGUACCGGCAGAACGCAAGAUGCAUAAUAUUCCACUAUAGAUGAAUCGUCGUUUAUUUAACACGUCUUCUACUAAUGGACAGGUCUGUUUGUGGGAAGACUAUUACGUUUUCUUCACUUGCAAAGUGAAAUCAUCAGAAAGCCUUCUCCGUCAUUUCGUACUCUGCACAUUUUCUCCCUCGGACAGGAAGAAUUCAACACCAGACACACACAUAAGAAAUUCCAUUUGUAUAUUUCAGGGUGUAAGUCCCCCAAAUAAAAGACUGCCGUCAAUCGCAUAUGGUGUUCUGAGGAAUGUGGAUUUGGGGUAAAGAGGAAGUCAAAAUUUCAACCAGAGCAGUGAUCUGAUUCUGGAGGACUUCCUGCAAAAGAAAAAGUGGCCACAAAGAUGACCUGGAAUGACCCUGUCCUGAAUCUUCUGUCAGGACCAACUGGAAUAAAAUCA